rnacentral:rRNA from 1 species
UUUAUUGGAGAGUUUGAUCCUGGCUCAGGAUGAACGCUGGCGGCGUGCCUAAUACAUGCAAGUCGAGCGAAUGGAUUGAGAGCUUGCUCUCAAGAAGUUAGCGGCGGACGGGUGAGUAACACGUGGGUAACCUGCCCAUAAGACUGGGAU